rnacentral:rRNA from 1 species
GUGCCAGCCGCCGCGGUAAUACGGAGGGUGCAAGCGUUAUUCGGAAUCAUUGGGUGUAAAGCGCGUGUAGGCGGCUGGGUAAGUUAGAUGUGAAAGCUCUGGGCUUAACCUGGAAAGUGCAUUUAAAACUGCCUGGCUUGAGUCUCGUAGAGGAAGGUGGAAUUCCCAGUGUAGAGGUGAAAUUCGUAGAUAUUGGGAGGAACACCGGUGGCGAAGGCGACCUUCUGGGCGCAGACUGACGCUGAGACGC